GUGAGGAAUAUUGGACAAUGGAUGGAAAUCUGAUCCAGCCAUGCCGCGUGCAGGAAGACGGCCCUAUGGGUUGUAAACUGCUUUUAUACGGGAGCAAUAAGGUCUAUGCAUAGAUUGAUGAGAGUACCGUAUGAAUAAGCAUCGGCUAACUCCGUGCCAGCAGCCGCGGUAAUACGGAGGAUGCGAGCGUUAUCCGGAUUUAUUGGGUUUAAAGGGUGCGUAGGCGGCUUUGUAAGUCAGCGGUGAAAUUUUGCAGCUUAACUGUAAAAGCGCCGUUGAUACUGUGAAGCUAGGAUUUGGUUGCUGUGGGCGGAAUGUGUGGUGUAGCGGUGAAAUGCAUAGAGAUCACACAGAAUAUCGAUUGCGAAGGCAGCUCACAAAGCCAAUAUUGACGCUGAGGCACGAAAGUGUGGGGAUCAAACAGGAUUAGAAACCCCGGAGUC
rnacentral:rRNA from 1 species